AGUUCGGAGGUAUCUGUACAGGAAGAAGAUAUAUACUAUUCCCAAAAUGAAACGCAUACGCCAGAAAUCUGUUGCGAAAAUGUUGUAUUUUCAAACAUGUAUAACUCGUCCACAAACAGACUUUAGUG